rnacentral:rRNA from 1 species
AUUGAACGCUGGCGGCAGGCUUAACACAUGCAAGUCGAGCGGAGAUGAGGUGCUUGCACCUUAUCUUAGCGGCGGACGGGUGAGUAAUGCUUAGGAAUCUGCCUAUUAGUGGGGGACAACAUUCCGAAAGGAAUGCUAAUACCGCAUACGUCCUACGGGAGAAAGCAGGGGAUCUUAGGACCUUGCGCUAAUAGAUGAGACUAAGUCGGAUUAGCUAGUUGGUGGGGUAAAGGCCUACCAAGGCGACGAUCUGUAGCGGGUCUGAGAGGAUGAUCCGCCACACUGGGACUGAGACACGGCCCAGACUCCUACGGGAGGCAGCAGUGGGGAAUAUUGGACAAUGGGGGGAACCCUGAUCCAGCCAUGCCGCGUGUGUGAAGAAGGCCUUAUGGUUGUAAAGCACUUUAAGCGAGGAGGAGGCUACUGAGACUAAUACUCUUGGAUAGUGGACGUUACUCGCAGAAUAAGCACCGGCUAACUCUGUGCCAGCCGCCGCAGUAA